rnacentral:rRNA from 1 species
UAUUCCGCUCCAUAGCGUAUAUUAAAGUUGUUGCAGUUAAAAAGCUCGUAGUUGAAUUUCGGGGUUAGUAGGUUGGUCAUGCCUCUGGUAUGUACUGGUCUCACUGAUUCCUCCUUCCUGAUGAACCUUAAUGCCAUUUAUUUGGUGUUUUGGGGAAUUUGGACUGUUACUUUGAAAAAAUUAGAGUGUUUAAAGCAAGCUAACGCUUGAAUACAUUAGCAUGGAAUAAUGAAAUAGGACGUUCGAUCCUAUUUUGUUGGUUUCUAGGAUUGACGUAAUGAUUAAUAGGGAUAGUUGGGGGCAUUAGUAUUCAAUUGUCAGAGGUGAAAUUCUUGGAUUUAUUGAAGACUAACUACUGCGAAAGCAUUUGCCAAGGAUGUUUUCAUUAAUCAAGAACGAAAGUUAGGGGAUCGAAGACGAUCAGAUACCGUCGUAGUCUUAACCAUAAACUAUGCCGACUAGGGAUCGGAUGAUGUUAAUUUUUUAAUGACUCAUUCGGCACCUUACGGGAAACA